GACGAACGCUGGCGGCGUGCUUAACACAUGCAAGUCGAACGGUAAGGCCCUUCGGGGUACACGAGUGGCGAACGGGUGAGUAACACGUGGGUGAUCUGCCCUGCACUUCGGGAUAACUCCGGGGAACCGGGGCUAAUACCGGAUAUGACCUCCUUGGGCAUCCUUGGAGGUGGAAAGUUUUUCGGUGAGGGAUGGGCCCGCGGCCUAUCAGCUUGUUGGUGAGGUAGUGGCUCACCAAGGCGACGACGGGUAGCCGGCCUGAGAGGGCGACCGGCCACACGGGGACUGAGACACGGCCCAGACUCCUACGGGAGGCAGCAGUGGGGAAUAUUGCACAAUGGGCGCAAGCCUGAUGCAGCGACGCCGCGUGAGGGAUGACGGCCUUCGGGUUGUAAACCUCUUUCAGCACCGACGAAGCGCAAGUGACGGUAGGUGCAGAAGAAGGACCGGCCAACUACGUGCCAGCCGCCGCGGUAA
rnacentral:rRNA from 1 species